CCUACGGGUGGCAGCAGUGAGGAAUAUUGGUCAAUGGACGGAAGUCUGAACCAGCCAUGCCGCGUGCAGGAAGACGGCUCUAUGAGUUGUAAACUGCUUUUGUACAAGGGUAAACUCAGAUACGUGUAUCUGUCUGAAAGUACCGUACGAACAAGGAUCGGCUAACUCCGUGCCAGCAGCCGCGGUAAUACGGAGGAUCCAAGCGUUAUCCGGAUUGAUUGGGUUUAAAGGGUGCGUAGGCGGUUGGAUAAGUUAGAGGUGAAGUGCCCGAGCUCAACUCGGGAACUGCCUCUGAUACUGUUGAGCUAGAGGGUAGGAGAGGAAGGCGGAAUGUAUGGUGUAGCAGUGAAAUGCUUAGAGAUCAGACAGAACACCGAUUGCGAAGGCAGCUUACCAAGCUACAUCUGACGUUGAGGCACGAAAGCGUGGGGAGCAAACAGGAUUAGAUACCCGUGUAGUC
rnacentral:rRNA from 1 species